GGACAAUCGCCCAAGGACUGAUAAGGAGAAGGAAGAAUUAGAUCGAGCAAUUGCACUUUCUUUGGCCGAAGGUUUGAAGAAUCCAAAUGGAUAUCAGUGGCAGCCAGACAAUGAUGAAGAUCUUGCAAAAUCACGUCAAGACGACCUUCAUCCGUCAUACCUUCCAUAUGUACCUAGCGAAUGUCAUCCCAUGGGAUAUAGAGUAUGUGGUGGCUGCAACCGCGACAUUGAUGCUUGUGGUUMUGUUAUGGGGACCUUUUUUCAUCCAKAGUGCUUCUGUUGUCRUGCUUGUGGUUACCCAAUCACCGAACACGAGGUCAUUUGUUCUGCUAUUAGCCAUCAUGCCACCAAAUGCAUUUUAUUUGAUUUAAACUUAUUUCUCAUUUGAUCCGUGACAAACUUAUGUAAUGUCAAAUGAUGUUGUUGAAUCUCUUACUAUUGCCAGCUCUUAUUAGUUUUUUCUAUUGAUUUAAGUUCUCUUUAUCAGGGAAAGAUGCAU